CCUACCUUAUAGUUUGGGAUAACUCCGGGAAACCGGGGCUAAUACCGAAUAAUCUGUUUCACCUCAUGGUGAAAUAUUGAAAGACGGUUUCGGCUGUCGCUAUAGGAUGGGCCCGCGGCGCAUUAGCUAGUUGGUGAGGUAACGGCUCACCAAGGCGACGAUGCGUAGCCGACCUGAGAGGGUGAUCGGCCACACUGGGACUGAGACACGGCCCAGACUCCUACGGGAGGCAGCAGUAGGGAAUCUUCCACAAUGGGCGAAAGCCUGAUGGAGCAACGCCGCGUGAGUGAAGAAGGAUUUCGGUUCGUAAAACUCUGUUGUAAGGGAAGAACAAGUACAGUAGUAACUGGCUGUACCUUGACGGUACCUUAUUAGAAAGCCACGGCUAACUACGUGCCAGCAGCCGCGGUAAUACGUAGGUGGCAAGCGUUGUCCGGAAUUAUUGGGCGUAAAGCGCGCGCAGGUGGUUUCUUAAGUCUGAUGUGAAAGCCCA
rnacentral:rRNA from 1 species